rnacentral:lncRNA from 1 species
CGGGAACAUCCAAGAUGGCUCUCUUUUCUGUUUGUUUAGAGGAUCUAAGGGGUUUCAUGUUUCUUUGGGUUUGUACUGGCGGGAUUUUUUGGUUGUAAAAAUUAUUUUUGAUCAAUGAAAUAUCCAGAAGGCAAAAAAAGGAAUAUGAGUAUAACUCAAAACGUACACGAAAGUCAAUAAAUCUCUUUUUUUUUUUUUUUUCUUCCAUUUCCUCUAUACUAAGCUAGUUCUUACCCCGUCACAACUAUUAACUGCCAUUCAUGACACC